rnacentral:lncRNA from 1 species
UUUUCGUCUCUCACGUCUCACACAGAGAAAGAAAAGGGUGCACUUAUACGCCCAAAUCAUCUACCAAACUCACUAAGAAUUAGGUAACAAAUCACCAAGAUUUGUUGAGAGAAAAAAGGAGCAGAUUAGAAAACAAAUCUGCUGGGAAAAACAAAACACCGAUAUAAGAAAAAAGAGGUGAAGAGAGAGAGAAAGGGAAAACCUAGUGAGAUUGGGCUGACUUUUAAUUUUGGGCUCAAAUUUUGUGGGCUGCUCGUAAGUGGGUUGCAAGGUGGGAUUUUAAUGGGCCAUUCACAAAGAAUUCAUUUGGGCC